rnacentral:rRNA from 1 species
GUAAGACCCCUGAAAGACGAUCAGGUUGAUAGGUUCGAGGUGGAAGUGCAGCAAUGCAUGCAGCUGACGAAUACUAAUCGGUCGAGGGCUUAUCCUA